GGAAUAUUGGUCAAUGGACGAGAGUCUGAACCAGCCAAGUAGCGUGCAGGAUGACGGCCCUAUGGGUUGUAAACUGCUUUUAUAUAGGGAUAAAGUUCACUACGUGUAGUGUUUUGUAGGUACUAUAUGAAUAAGGACCGGCUAAUUCCGUGCCAGCAGCCGCGGUAAUACGGAAGGUCCGGGCGUUAUCCGGAUUUAUUGGGUUUAAAGGGAGCGCAGGCCGGAGGUCAAGCGUGACGUGAAAUGUAGCCGCUCAACGGCUGAACUGCGUCGCGAACUGGCUUUCUUGAGUGAGUGCGACGUCAGCGGAAUUCGUGGUGUAGCGGUGAAAUGCUUAGAUAUCACGAAGAACCCCGAUUGCGAAGGCAGCUGACGAGGCCUUUACUGACGCUAAAGCUCGAAGGUGCGGGUAUCGAACA
rnacentral:rRNA from 1 species